rnacentral:tRNA from 1 species
GGGGGUGUAGCUCAGUGGUACAGUGCGUGCUCAGCAUGCACAAAGCCCUGGGUUCAAUCCCCAGCAUCCUUC